UUCUCUCCGCUCCGCCAGCCUGAGCGAGCAGCAGCAGCCUCCCCCGCCGAGCAGGCGGCGGGAGCGCUCGCAGCCGCUGCAGCGCGACUCCGCGCAGCCCCCUGCGCCGGUGCCGCCGAGCUCCGCGCGGAGGUCGCGACCGGCGGAGCGAGCAGAUGGAAAAUCCCAGUUCCUGCCGCACGCAAACAAGUGGUCCCUGCGCUGGAAAUCCACAUCUGCUCUCUGCUUCAAACGCCUGCGUGGCCGACUUGUCUACCGCCCUCAUAUCUGGCCCCCGCGCAAUUGGGAGGCCUGGUCAAAUCCUGACCACAAAUCGCACUGAAAAGAGAAUCAUGAUCUCACCACUCACAAAAUGCUAUGGGUGAAAGAGAAGGCAUUUAACCAUUUCCCUCUCUCUUGGCUGAUCUGAUCCCACCUGGGGGACCAGGACCUACUCCCGGAUGACUGUCCUGAGCUACAUGCUGUAUUGCAAGCUGGACCGUCCUUUCCCCAAGGUAUAGGAUCGCUCACCCCAACAAAGCCCCUUCUUUCCCUCAUUCCCUUCCUGGAAGCCACAGAUGUCGAAUAUCUUGGGGAUCUCUUCCGCUUGGGCAUGCUGUCGCGGGGAAGGAGGAGCGUGCAUGGAGUGCUCCCGCAGCUUCUCAAGACUAGAGUGGGGACGCUACGCUGCAGCUCCGAGGGGGAGAGCGGGACUGCGGCAGGGGAGUUUGGGGAAUGCAGAAGCACGGAGGCACAGCAAGGCUGGGCAGUGCAGAACGAGGCUCAGUGGCAGGGCAACUCCAGAUAGCCACAAAAUGAGUAUUGCUGAUGCCUGUCUGGCACCAGCUGUCACCUAGUCACCACGGAUCAUGCACAUUUUGAACUGUGAUAUCACCAUUGCAUCACAUUGCCCGUUACAAAUAUCGACGGCAGGAGAAAACUGGUGUUCCUGCUCCCCGUGUUACAAGUACUCUGAAGACAGAUUCCAGUCCAAUGUAUAGGUAUCCUGUGGGAGACAUUUUCAAAAAUAGCCACUAAUUAUGAAAGCCUUCAUUUUUGGGUCACUCAGCUACAACCCUGUACUCAAAAGUGGAUACACUUAGAAUCAGCAACUGCUUAAAAAAAUCCUAGUUUAAAUUUGGUUUGUCGAAAAUGGAUAAAAAUAAUAAGACAGGCAGGCUAUGUGCAUUGGAGGAUGGUGAAAAUGGGGAGUAGAGGGUGCACUUUAAGACAUUUUCUACUGUUCUGUACAAUGAGUUUACCCAUUUUAAAAUGAUUUACUUUGCUACCUUGGCUAAGUACAGUUGAUGUUUGUUGUUUAAACAAUGAUUGCACUCUCCCAGGCCAUCUGCUCCUCCUACCCAAUCCUGCAGUGGCCUUGUGCUUCGUGUGGCGUUACAGAUACUUUCUAGCCAGUGCACAAUAUAAUGGCAUAAAACCACCAUUAUGUAUUCACACCAAAAUGGGGAGAGAAGUGAGAAGGGGAAAAAACUUAGCAAAGCCAACAGCUGUGACAUGAAGGUGUCACCAAAACAUCCAGUUUGGAAAGGAUUACGAAAAUACAUUAUUUUGUUAAGUUUCCCUGGUCACUUCUUACUGCUACUCUUGUCCUCUCUCAGUAUUUACUGAAAAAAAAGACUCACCUAUACAAAGCACCGGGAGAGCCAGUGUGGCCCUCAGCCAGCUCUUGCAAUCUGCGAGUGUGAUUUCACCUUCUCCACAUUACGUCAGCCACAUCCACCACCCACAACCCACAUGCCUCCUCCCUGCAACCCCACACGAGACAGUAACUGCACACUCAGAGCGUGCAGCGUGGUUAGCGAGAGCAGUGAUUGCCUGGCAUGGCGAUGCUGUUGGAAGUAGCUGGAGUUCAGGGGCUAUGUUUUCAGCUAUGGCUGAAGGGCAUCAUGUAAGAGGAUUGCGAAUGAUGCAAAUCAUUUGUUUGUAGGUGGGAAUCGAUUCUAAGAGUUUCAUCACCCUGUGAAGUUAUCCUCAGCUCUGAGUGAUUUAGGCGGCCUGGUGAGGAAGUAUGGUGCUGCAUUUUGUUUUCUUGGCAGGGAGGUUUAUGCACCGAGUUAAGUUUGCAGGUUUUGGGUGGAAAUAGUGGGAGGAAGCCUGUGGUUCUAGGAGCUGGUGUGGUGAUGUGCUGAAGGUGAAACUAUGGUUAAAGGCUGCAAAACAUGGGUGAAGGCUUGGCUAGGGUCUUCAUGGCUCUUCAGUGUUUUUGUUGGUGGGAUGUGCCAUGAGCAACUUCAACAGAUUUCUAACAACAUUUUUGGUUUGGUGGGGUUUCCGUGCAAACAUUGACAGAUAGCAUGGGUACCAAAUGUAUUUUCAUCUCCGUGUUCCUCCCAUAGAGUCUUGCAAAGCCCCAGAUCUUCACACAUCACCUUUCUUUCCACAUGACCUCUUCACUUGACUUUCCCUCUCUGUCUCCUUUUCCAGAUCAUGGCCUGGAUUUUUUCUAUGUUCUGUUGUCCCUAGAGCCCAGACUACCUCUUUCUUUCUUUCUUUCUUUGUCUUCCUCCCUUCCUUCCUCCUUCUUCUGCCUCUCAGGGCAGCUAUUCCAGCACCCAUUUAUACAGGUGAAUCACUGCAGAUAGCCACGUGAGUUGAUAAAUGUGGGCACUGAGAAAAAAAUCAAAUGUGGCAAGGGAGCAGGGAAGGAGAAAGAGGUUGCAUAUAGGGUGGGAAGGAGUGGCAGCAUGUGAAGGGCUGGUAAAGAUAUUGAAGUGUAGGAGGGGCUUGUUCAUAAUGUGCUCUUGGGCCUGCAGGACUAGCAAGCUAAAAAGAGGAGGGAGAUGUGAAAAAGCUGCUUCUGUAGCCAGUCUGGGCCUGAGGAGGGAGAGACAGAGGAACUGUGUGCUGACAAAGCCUGGACAGCCCGCCUGCCCCCUGUGAGCUCUCACUUCCCCAUGCUUCCCCACACAACCGUGUAGCCGACUUGUCUCCCUGCCGCCCCUGCCACCUGAGCUUGCCCUGGUGCUGGUACACUGGGGGAAGAGACCGAGGGAGCGAGGACAGAAACAGCACUGAGUCCCCAGAGUGG